rnacentral:rRNA from 1 species
AUGAAAGGUCGAUCAGACUUGCAUGCCGUCGUCACUGUCGGCAUCGGUCGUCUCCAUUUUGUCACUGACCUCGCCACCCUUUCCUCUCUCGAUGUACACCAUGUCGAUGUUGUACAGUACCGGGAUCAUGACCAUGGAGCAGAGGCACGCCAGCACCGGCCCGAAAAUCCACAGCAGAAACGGAACGCCGCCGAAGAAGAGCCUGUUCCCGACGAAGUUGAGCAGGAACCCCCUGUCCAGGACCUCGAGGACGUACUCCUUGUUGACCGGCAGGUGGCGGCCGCCGUUGGGGAGGGCGAAGAGGUGGGAGAGGGCGUUGACGAGGAAGGUGGCCUGGUUGAAGGUGCAGAUGGCGAGGGUGUGGCAGAGGAAGGACAGGAGGAAGGCGGUGAGGAGGGCCACGUACUUGAGCGCCAUCAUGUACUCGCCGUGCGCGCCGAAGACGGCGUCGCUGAUCGGCUUCUUGACGGCGUAGGUGCUGCUGAGCACGGCGGCCACGCCGGUGCAGAAGAGGACGGACGUGGUGGCCACCAGCGUGGAGCCCAUGAUCACGUUCCGCAGCGACUGCACCACCAGCACCGCCUUCUUCUCGUUGUCCUUCAUCAUGGAGAGCACCCAGAGGCGGCGUGCGGCGGCGUUGAUGCCGAUGGUGGAGCGCAGCGGGCAGCUGCGGACCGCGCGCCACAGCCACAUGUGGUACACGAUCGGGAAGAGGAGGCCCACGGGGAUCAGCACCAGGUCCAAGUAGCUCUCCCUCCACGCCAUGAUCGCUCCUAG